rnacentral:rRNA from 1 species
CCUACGGGAGGCAGCAGUGGGGGAUAUUGCACAAUGGGGGAAACCCUGAUGCAGCGACGCCGCGUGUGGGAAGACGGUCCUCUGGAUUGUAAACCACUGUCCCCAGGGACGAAGAUGACGGUACCUGGGGAGGAAGCUCCGGCUAACUACGUGCCAGCAGCCGCGGCAAUACGCAGGGAGCGAGCGUUGUCCGGAAUUACUGGGUGUAAAGGGAGCGUAGGCGGGACUGCAAGUUGGGUGUCAAAUCUACCGGCUCAACCGGUAGCCGCACUCAAAACUGCAGUUCUUGAGUGAAGUAGAGGCAGGCGGAAUUCCUAGUGUAGCGGUGAAAUGCGUAGAUAUUAGGAGGAACACCAGUGGCGAAGGCGGCCUGCUGGGCUUUUACUGACGCUGAGGCUCGAAAGUGUGGGGAGCAAACAGGAUUAGAUACCCCAGUAGUC